rnacentral:rRNA from 1 species
GAUCCUGGCUCAGGACGAACGCUGGCGGCAUGCCUAACACAUGCAAGUCGAACGGAGAUUAUUUCGAUAAUCUUAGUGGCGAACGGGUGAGUAACGCGUGGGCAACCUGCCCUCUAGAUGGGGACAACAUCCCGAAAGGGGUGCUAAUACCGAAUGUGACAGCAAUCUCGCAUGAGGAUGCUGUGAAAGAUGGCCUCUAUUUAUAAGCUAUCGCUAGAGGAUGGG